AGAGCCAGAGCUGCACCACCGAGCGUGGAUGCCGGAGCGAUGAGCAGCUGGAACCUGGGCUCGAUCAUGGACAAGAAAAGAUUGGUGUUGACCAUGUCGCCUUCGAGGUUAGCCUCUGCGCUUGCACCAUCAGCUCUGUUGAGAGCCAGCGGCGUCACGAUCGACUUCCGGAGGGCUGUUUCCAUGGGAAUGCAGCUCAGCAGGACUGCGGGCUUGUCGCCACCAACCAUGCAGUCACCGAAAGGUCCACGGCGGACCGGCCACCAGGUUCGAGAAUUCUGGCGCUUCCGAG
rnacentral:lncRNA from 1 species